GACGAACGCUGGCGGCGUGCUUAACACAUGCAAGUCGAACGAAGUGGCGAACGGGUGAGUAACGCGUAAUCAACCUGCCAUUCAGAGGGGGACAACAGUUGGAAACGACUGCUAAUACCGAAUACUGAAGGAGGGGAUUGCGUUUGAUUGGCUAGUUGGAUGGGUAACGGCCCACCAAGGCGCAGAUCAGGAGCCGGGCUUGGAGGAUGAACGGCCAACAUGGGACUGGGACAAGGCCCAGACUCCUACGGGAGGCAGCAGUGGGGAAUCUUCGGCAAUGGACGAAAGUCUGACGGAGCAACUCCGUGGGAGUGAUGACGGCCUUCGGGGUGGAAAGCUCUGUUAAGCGGGACGCGGUACCGGAAUAGAAAGCCACGGCUAACUACGUGCCAGCAGCCGCGGUAAUAC
rnacentral:rRNA from 1 species